rnacentral:rRNA from 1 species
CCGUCGUAGUCCUAACCAUAAACCAGGCCUGCUAGGUGGUGAAGGUCGUCAUUUUUCGAUGUCUUCAAAUCCCUAAGUUAAAUUCAAGUGUUGGGGUCCUUGGGAGAGUAUGGUCGCAAGGCUGAA